GGAAACUUGGACAAGCUCUAUGAGGGAGCUCUAAUCUUACAAUCUCGUUGAGGGAGCUAGCAACCUUUACAAAAAGAAAAGAAUUAUGAUAUGAAAAUUUUCCACUCCUUAUUCAACUUGUAGGUAUAAAUAUCAUGGUGGAAUAACAUCAUUAGAAACUACAAAUGAUCCAGCAUUUACUCAAUCUGCUCAUAUAAUCUUGGGAUAAGAAUAAAUUUUGGGUAAAUUCCUAUAAUUAUGGAACCCAUUACCCUACAUAAUAUCUUCCUUGAUCAUGUUAGUUUCCUACUCUAACGAGCUGACCUGCUUUCACUGCUUUCUUCAUUUUGGAUAUCCGACCUCCGUUCACUUGGUGCUUUGACAUCCUUCCAUUUGGUCAUCUGACCUCUUUCACUUGGUUAACCUCCCUUCAACCAGGUUGAUUGGUCUCCCUUGUUAGGUCAGUAUCAAACCUCCUUCCACUCAGUCAUUCGACCUUUUUUUACUCGGUUGACCUUCCUUCCUAGUCGAUUGGUCUCCCUUGCUUAGUAUGUAUCAUCCCCUUUCUUGAAAACGAGCUUGUGCUCAAGCGA
rnacentral:misc_RNA from 1 species